rnacentral:rRNA from 1 species
GACGAACGCUGGCGGCGUGCUUAACACAUGCAAGUCGAACGGAAAGGCCCUGCUUUUGUGGGGUGCUCGAGUGGCGAACGGGUGAGUAACACGUGAGUAACCUGCCCUUGACUUUGGGAUAACUUCAGGAAACUGGGGCUAAUACCGGAUAGGAGCUCCUGCUGCAUGGUGGGGGUUGGAAAGUUUCGGCGGUUGGGGCUGGACUCGCGGCUUAUCCGCUUGUUGGUGGGGUAGUGGCUUACCAAGGCUUUGACGGGUAGCCGGCCUGAGAGGGUGACCGGCCACAUUGGGCCUGCGAUACGGCCCAGACUCCUACGGGCGGCAGCAGUGGGGAAUAUUGCGCAAUGGGCGGAAGCCUGAUGCAGCAACGCCGCGUGCGGGAUGACGGCCUUCGGGUUGUAAACCGCUUUCGCCUGUGACGAAGCGUGAGUGACGGUAAUGGGUAAAGAAGCACCGGCUAACUACGUG